rnacentral:misc_RNA from 1 species
GUAGGUGAACCUGCGGAAGGAUCAUUAACAAGAGCGAGCGAGCGUGCGCGUCAGCGUAUGCUCCAUAGCGCCACUGCGUCAGCAGUGUGCCAAUCAUCCUGUAGAAACUCUAUGCGCUGUCGUGUUACUAGAGACAAACUCGAUUUCAGGUCCAGUCCAUCACUAGUCACACAGCGACAUAAACACCCUUAUUGAUGUGAUAUGAUUCGAUGAUAAUGAAUAACAACUUUUAACAAUGGAUCUCUUGGCU